UGGGGAAUAUUGGACAAUGGGGGCAACCCUGAUCCAGCGAUGCCGCGUGAGUGACGAAGGCCUUAGGGUUGUAAAACUCUUUCGUCGGGGACAAUAAUGACGGUACCCGAAGAAGAAGCUCCGGCUAACUUCGUGCCAGCAGCCGCGGUAAUACGUAGGGACCAAGCGUUGUUCGGAUUUACUGGGCGUAAAGGGCGCGUAGGCGGCAAUUCAAGUCAUCUGUGAAAUCUCCGGGCUUAACUCGGAACGGUCAGAUGAUACUGCUUUGCUAGAGUGCAGAAGGGGCAAUCGGAAUUCUUGGUGUAGCGGUGAAAUGCGUAGAUAUCAAGAGGAACACCUGAGGUGAAGACGGGUUGCUGGGCUGACACUGACGCUGAGGCGCGAAAGCCAGGGGAGCAAACGGGAUU
rnacentral:rRNA from 1 species